UCCACUGUACCAAGGAAGAACACAGACACAGCAGUAAUGGAUAGGUGUAUACCACACUGUGGGGACAAAAACAAAGGUAGUUCCAUUGGCAACGUACAUGGAGGUGGAGGCAAUGCGAACAUUGGCAAUGCAUCAGGAGGUGGAGGAAGUCACAUUGGCAACGUACACGGUGGUGGAGGCAACGAGAACAUUGGCAAUGUAUCAGGAGGUGGAGGAAGUCACAUUGGCAACAUACAUGGGGGUGGAGGCAACGAGGACAUUGGCAAUGUAUCAGGAGGUGGAGGAAGUAACAUUGGCAACAUAGAUGGGGGUGGAGGCAACACCGGCAUUGGCAACGUUGGAAAAUAAUCUGGAUGCCAUUAGGGCCACUUCACCAAAAGCCUGUCAACAUCCCUGUUCACACUGGGGUGAAGAUUAUGAAAACUAGAUGCAUAUUAAUGGAAUUAGGCUGUUCUUAGUGCUAUCAGAUUCACUCUAGGAGUAUAGUUUUAAUCAACAAUGUAAC
ensembl:lncRNA